rnacentral:rRNA from 1 species
ACCGUACUCCUACGGGAGGCAGCAGUGGGGAAUUUUGGACAAUGGGGGCAACCCUGAUCCAGCAAUGCCGCGUGAGUGAAGAAGGCCUUCGGGUUGUAAAGCUCUUUUGUCAGGGAAGAACAAAUGUGUAAGUAACUGUGCACAUCUUGACGGUACCUGAAGAAUAAGCACCGGCUAACUACGUGCCAGCAGCCGCGGUAAUACGUAGGGUGCAAGCGUUAAUCGGAAUUACUGGGCGUAAAGCGGGCGCAGGCGGUUGUGUAAGUCAGAUGUGAAAUCCCCGGGCUCAACCUGGGAAUUGCAUUUGAGACUGCACGGCUAGAGUGUGUCAGAGGGGGGUAGAAUUCCACGUGUAGCAGUGAAAUGCGUAGAUAUGUGGAGGAAUACCGAUGGCGAAGGCAGCCCCCUGGGAUAACACUGACGCUCAUGCACGAAAGCGUGGGGAGCAAACAGGAUUAGAAACCCCAGUAGUCCUUGAC